rnacentral:rRNA from 1 species
GACGAACGCUGGCGGCGUGCCUAAUACAUGCAAGUCGAACGCUGAAGCGAUGAGCUUGCUCUUCUUGGAUGUGUUGCGAACGGGUGUGUAACGCGUAUGUCACCUGCCUUGUAUCGGGGUAUAACUAUUGGAAACGAUAGCUAAUACCGCAUAACAAUGUAUGACACAUUUCAUUUAUUUGAAAGUCGCAAUUUCUCCACUACAACAUGGCCCUUCGUUGUAUUAGCUAGUAGGUGAGGUAACGGCUCACCUAGGCGGGGAUACAUAGCCGAACUGACAGGGUGAGUGGCCAGACUGGGACGGAGACACGGCACAGAGUGCCACGGGAGGGAGCAGGAGGGAAACGGGGGCAAUGGGGGCAAACCAGACCGAGAAACGCCGAGUGAGUGAAGAAGGUCGUCGGAUCGUAAAGGUCUGUUGUAAGUUAAGAAAGCGUGUGAGAGUGGAAAGUUCACAGAGUGACGGUAGCGGACCAGAAAGGGACGGCUAACUACGUG